AGAGUUUGAUUCUGGCUCAGAACGAACGCUGGUGGCGUGUCUUAUACAUGCAAGUCGAGCGAGGCAGCAAUGCCGAGCGGCGAACGGGUGAGUAACGCGUAAGCAAUCUCGCCCCAUAUCAGGAAAUACCCCGUGCCAACGCGCGGUUAAUGUCCAGGAGAGUGGCCUUCUGCAUGGAGGGUUGACUAGAGAUUUAUCGGUAUGGGAUGAGCUUGCGUCCGAUUAGCUAGUUGGCGGGGCAACGGCCCACCAAGGCGACGAUCGGUAGCCGGCCUGAGAGGGUGAUCGGCCACAUUGGGACUGAGAUACCGGCCCAGACUCCUACGGGAGGCAGCAGUAGGGAAUAUUGCACAAUGGGGGAAACCCUGAUGCAGCAACGCCACGUGUUAGGGAAGAAGCAUUUCGGUGUGUAAACCACUGUCAUGAGGGAAUAAGGCCCGCCUUCGGGCGGGAUUGAAUGUACCUUGAGAGGAAGCACCGGCAAACUUCGUGCCAGCAGCGGC
rnacentral:rRNA from 1 species